rnacentral:lncRNA from 1 species
UGGGAGUAGUGCAAGUGAUUCUUAGACUUAAGAUAACUAUGGUACCUUAUAUAUAUGAAUCUAUGUUUUGAUUCAUUCUCUAGCUUAUCCUUCUGAGCCUUAUGUUGGAUGUUCUAGAUAUAGUGCAGUGUGCAUAGAGGUUGUGAGUGGUCAACAAAGAAUCGAUCACUCCUUAUAAGAGGAGCGAACAUCCUAUGUGAUCUUAUAGG